CCCUUAGAUGUUCUGAGCCGCACGCGCGCUACACUGUUCGACGCAGCGAGUCUUAACCUUGACCGAAAGGUUUGGGUAAUCUUCAGCAAAGUCGAACGUGAUGGGGAUCGAUCAUUGCAAUUAUUGAUCGUGAACGAGGAAUUCCUAGUAAGUGCAAGUCAUCAGCUUGCGCUGAUUACGUCCCUGCCCUUUGUACACACCGCCCGUCGCUACUACCGAUUGAAUGGUUUAGUGAGAUCUCUGGAUUGACGCUGGCUAGGGGGCGACCCUUGGCCAGGCUGUCGAGAAACUGCUCAAACUUGAUCAUUUAGAGGAAGUAAAAGUCGUAACA
rnacentral:rRNA from 1 species